rnacentral:RNase_P_RNA from 1 species
GAGGCAGGCCGGGCAAUCGCGGUGCGGCGCAUCGAGGAAGGUCCGGACUCCACAGGGCAGGGUAGCGGCUAACAGCCGUCCGGCAAGCAAAAGCGCGAGCUUGCGCGAGCCGAGGAACAGGGCCACAGAGACGAGUCUGCGGCGAGGGCACGUCCACGGGCGUGCACCGGCACGGCUACUCCGUGCUGCGCAGGCGGAAACGCGUGCGGCGCUGCAGGGUGAAACGCGGUAACCUCUAUCCGGAGCAACAUCAAAUAGGCAUGCGCAGGCCUCGGCCAGACGGGCGGCCCGUCCGAGCAUGCGGGUAGAUGGCUCGAGCCCGACAGUAAUGUCGGGCCCAGAUGAAUGAUUGCCUGUCCGGCUCGCCGGGCAUACAGAAUCCGGCCUAUAGGCCUGUCUCACUU